AAUACUUAGGAAUCUGCCUAUUAGUGGGGGACAACAUUUCGAAAGGAAUGCUAAUACCGCAUACGCCCUACGGGGGAAAGCAGGGGCUCUUCGGACCUUGCGCUAAUAGAUGAGCCUAAGUCAGAUUAGCUAGUUGGUGGGGUAAAGGCCUACCAAGGCGACGAUCUGUAACGGGUCUGAGAGGAUGAUCCGUCACACUGGGACUGAGACACGGCCCAGACUCCUACGGGAGGCAGCAGUGGGGAAUAUUGGACAAUGGGGGCAACCCUGAUCCAGCCAUGCCGCGUGUGUGAAGAAGGCCUUUUGGUUGUAAAGCACUUUAAGCGAGGAGGAGGCUCCUAUAGUUAAUACCUAUAGUGAGUGGACGUUACUCGCAGAAUAAGCACCGGCUAACUCUGUGCCAGCAGCCGCGGUAAUACAGAGGGUGCGAGCGUUAAUCGGAUUUACUGGGCGUAAAGCGUGCGUAGGUGGCCAAUUAAGUCAAAUGUGAAAUCCCUGAGCUUAACUUAGGAAUUGCAUUCGAUACUGGUUGGCUAGAGUAUGGGAGAGGAUGGUAGAAUUCCAGGUGUAGCGGUGAAAUGCGUAGAGAUCUGGAGG
rnacentral:rRNA from 1 species